GUUAUUAUUUGCAUGCACACACACACACAUCACAUACACAUGCACAUUUCUUACAUGGUAUGAGGAAGGGAGUGUGGAUAAAUGAAGAAGGAACCUAAUGCACAUUAAACUGUCAGUUGUUCACAUCUUUCUGUAUUUACUUCCAAUUUUAGCCUUGCGCACACUUAGUUCUGCAUACUUACAUUCAAAUGGUCACAGACACAAGAGCAGAACAGGGAACAAAGUUAGAGGUUGUUUUUUUAAGGGCACCUGCCUCCUUAUCACUGUAUGCUUCUGGAAUUCCUACUCCUUGCCAGCUGGCAGUUCGCCUGUGUUCAAACACCUCCAUUAAAGGUAGACUUCCAGUGUGAUUCAUUUCUGGAAAGUCCUGAUUGGUGGAGCCUUCUCACUUCACAUUUGAUCCUACCCUGAUGGGCCACACAGUAAAUAUUAAUUCUUCAUCUAUAGCUGGUAGCAUUUGAAGUAAGCUAUUAUAUCCCCCAGAACAUUUUCUUUUGACCAGGUACUUCAAAUAUUCUGCAGAUGAUGAAGCCAUGAGUCCUCUUGUGGAUUGCUCUGGUCACUCUCUUCCAAACACAAAUCUUAUCCUGCUUAUUUCCUUUUUAAAGUGAAAAAACCGAGGCCUAGAGAAAGAAGUCACUUGCCCACGCACAUGUGGGUCUAGAGGCCCAGCUGAAGUUAACAUUCUAGUUCUUCAGCUUUCUACUCCAGUGCCCUCGAGGUCAUUGUCAAACUACUGCUGAACCUGUUUAUCCAGAAAAGCAGUUGAUGUCAGGCCGGUUGAUGACAGGAGACAGAGCAGAACCCAGAGAGAGCAGGACCAGCUGAAGCAUCACAGUGCAAGGAACCUGUAUGGAGGAGAACUACAUUGGUAUAUAUGACAUGACAGGCUGGUUGUGGAGUAGCAGCUGGAACCUGGGUCGCCUGAAGAUGAGAUAAGACCAGCUUCCACUGUGCUGGUAGCAGAAUCAAGACCAGUGCUCAAGUUGAAGUGACAUUCCUGGAUCCUUCUCAGAAUCAAGCUCUCUCUGCUCCCUGCCCUUUGCCCACACCUUUACCUGGCCCAUCUUAAUCAACGUUGUAUUAAAAUGAUGUGCAUAGGAAUCUCGCUUUCCCCAAUUAAGUGGACAUCUAUCACUUGUGGUCUAGUGUUUAAUAUCUCUUAUUUUAGUAAAUUUCCCCCGGCAGGCCAUUCUUCCCACUAGUUUUGUGGUCGGGAAGGAUUAGCUCCACCUCCAGAGUCUUCGGCAUGAGCUGAUUAUCCCUCCCCUCUGCAAUUGUUUCAAAGAGGGGCACACAAUCUAAGCUGAGCCAGUAAGCUCUGAGGAGAUAUUUUCUGUAAUUCCUGGAAAGAAAUGCCUUCUGUCCACCACUGGUUUCAAUCAUGUGUGGCUGCUAUAGACAUUUUUUAUCAGGAGGGAGACCAGCUAGAGACUGAGGACAACCCAGGAAGGAGGCAGAGCUAAAUGAUGCAAAGAAAUUAAGUCUGGAUGUUGUUAUUUGAGUCUGUGUAUCAAAAUGAAACUGAAGCCAGUUCAAUCCUUGGACAAUAACCUAGAGUGAUUUAUCCAGGUCUUUCUCUGAAAAACAAAUAAACAAAAAAUGAAUGCUCACCUAACAUCUGCAAAACUAAAUAUGCUGACGAGCUCCCUCCAAGAAUGAUAGACUCUUGCAAAGGCAAAUUUCAUUCUUCAAACCAGAUGGCAGAAACUUACUUACCACUCUAAAAAUGGUACCUCUUUUGAGCUUAAGAAAAUCUUAAAACAGAGCCUCCAGGAGGGAUUAUAUAAGGAGAGUUUUCAUAGGGUAUUUGACUAUAUUUUCUCAAAGAAUCUUCCUAACAAACAUUUUUGACAGGUUAUUACAGCUCCCAGAUUACAAAUGAAAACAUGGAGACCCUGUGAAAUUUAGAGCUAUGGACUAGAGACAAAAGCUCCAGACAGUAAUGGCCCGGGGCCUUUCCCCAGUGUAGACUGUGAUUUGGCUGCAUUAGUUAGACUGACUCUGGUUCUCCCUGUUGUUAUGAAUAGUUGUUACGAAAACAUAGACUCCAGAAGCUCUUAUGUCUGGCUCAGUCUGAGAACUUCACAUGGUAAAAAGGUAAGAUAAAAAUGUUUUCAUAAUGAGUUUACUCAACUCUUGCAGACAGACGGCUAGCCGGGUGACCUGUUUGCAGAUGGUUCAUUUUAGCCUCUAGAAUCAUCUCUCCAAGCACUCAGGACUCUUCCUGAUGGACACUUUCAGGAAUUAAACUCUAAGUUCCUUAUUAAAGGCCCUUUGUUCCCUGUGUUUGGAUAUGGUUGAACCAUAUCCUCAUUGGUUCAACGCUCUUGGCAUCGUAAGCUAAGUUCUGGACUGGUUAUGGCAGUAAUACUAGACUAUAACUGCCUGAAGGGAGAUGCCAUGUCUGGCUCCCUCAUUUUUAUGCCCUCACUCAGCUCAAAAUAUGACACCAAACAUGCAUCCCACUUGUUUAAGAAAUGAAUUUCUGAAAAUUGAUUCAGGAAUGUCAAACAAGAUUGAAAACUGAGUUGAGUUGAUCAUGUAAGAUUUAUUAAUAUAAUAAGAGACACCAGAGUUGAAAGGGAGUGUUGAGAAUCGGAGAUGCAAUGGAUUGUAAUGGAAAGAAAACAGAAGAAUAAAAAAAACCCCAUAAAUAUACAUCUUCAUUUGUGAUUCCCUAGCUGAGGGAUUUGGAAAGCCAUUGAAUCAUCCUGGAUAUUGUUUUCUGUGUCUACAAAAGGGGCUAACGACAUAGAGUGGAUUCACAGAGUCGUUAUGUCAGAUAAAAUGGCAUAUGUAAAAGUAUUUUGCAUAUUUCUGGACACUGUAUAUAGUUCUAGUGCGGAAAUUAAGGAAAGGAAAUGGCAACCCAAAUGUGAGUUGAAAGAGAACAAUUGAUUUAGAAACUAAGCAAAUAGAGGGCUCUUCCUCAAUCAACCAACUUUCAUUUAUUGAGGAAUCUGGUACAUUCACCAGUUGAUGUCAAGUUAAGGAACAUGCAUCUCUGAAAACUUUCCAUGUUUUGCUGGGCUGGGCCACAGUGUCCCCUCCACUGACAACAAGAGUAGUAGGGGACAAUGG